GACGAACGCUGGCGGCGUGCUUAACACAUGCAAGUCGAACGGAAAGGCCCUGCUUUUGUGGGGUGCUCGAGUGGCGAACGGGUGAGUAACACGUGAGUAACCUGCCCUUGACUUUGGGAUAACUUCAGGAAACUGGAGCUAAUACCGGAUAGGAGCUCCUGCUGCAUGGUGGGGGUUGGAAAGUUUCGGCGGUUGGGGAUGGACUCGCGGCUUAUCAGCUUGUUGGUGGGGUAGUGGCUUACCAAGGCUUUGACGGGUAGCCGGCCUGAGAGGGUGACCGGCCACAUUGGGACUGAGAUACGGACCAGACUCCUACGGGAGGCAGCAGUGGGGAAUAUUGCACAAUGGGCGGAAGCCUGAUGCAGCAACGCCGCGUGCGGGAUGACGGCCUUCGGGUUGUAAACCGCUUUCGCCUGUGACGAAGCGUGAGUGACGGUAAUGGGUAAAGAAGCACCGGCUAACUACGUG
rnacentral:rRNA from 1 species